GGGACCGGCGCACGGGUGAGUAACGCGUAUCCAACCUGCCCACCACUUGGGGAUAACCUUGCGAAAGUAAGACUAAUACCCAAUGGUGAUGGAUGGGGAUGCGUCUGAUUAGCUUGUUGGGGGGUAACGGCCCACCAAGGCGACGAUCAGUAGGGGUUCUGAGAGGAAGGUCCCCCACAUUGGAACUGAGACACGGUCCAAACUCCUACGGGAGGCAGCAGUGAGGAAUAUUGGUCAAUGGGCGAGAGCCUGAACCAGCCAAGUAGCGUGCAGGAUGACGGCCUAUGGGUUGUAAACUGCUUUUAUAAGGGAAUAUGUACCUUAUGAAUAAGGACCGGCUAAUUCCGUGCCAGCAGCCGCGGUAAUACGGAAGGUCCGGGCGUUAUCCGGAUUUAUUGGGUUUAAAGGGAGCGUAGGCCGGAGAUUAAGCGUGUUGUGAAAUGUAGACGCUCAACGUCUGCACUGCAGCGCGAACUGGUUUCCUUGAGUACGCACAAAGUGGGCGGAAUUCGUGGUGUAGCGGUGAAAUGCUUA
rnacentral:rRNA from 1 species